rnacentral:rRNA from 1 species
CCGAGAAUAUUCGACAAUGGGCGAAAGCCUGAUCGAGCGACGCCGCGUGCAGGAAGAAGGUUUUCGGAUUGUAAACUGCUUUUCUACAGGAAGAAUAAAUGACUGUACUGUAGGAAUAAGGAGCUGCAAACUACGUGCCAGCAGCCGCGGUAAUACGUAGGCUCCAAGCGUUAUCCGGAUUUAUUGGGCGUAAAGGGUGUGUAGGAUGUUCUGUGCGUCUCUUGUUAAAUUUCGCCGCUCAACGGCGGAGCCGCAGGGGAUACGGCAGGACUAGAGGGUGUGAGAGGUCUGCGGAACGCAAGGUGUAGGGGUGAAAUCCGUUGAUAUCUUGCGGAACACCAAAGGCGAAGGCAGCAGACUGGCACAUCUCUGACUCUGAGACACGAAAGCGUGGGGAGCA